CGGACUCGGUGUUUCCUGCCGAGUGGCUUCUCCGGGCGCCUAUCCCCCGGUCA
rnacentral:ncRNA from 1 species